CAAUAGCGUAUAUUAAAGUUGUUGCAGUUAAAAAGCUCGUAGUUGGAUUUCUGGUGGGAGCGAUCGGUCUGGCGCUUAGCGCGAGUACUUGCAUCGUCUCCGGCCAUCCUUGGGGAGGGUCUGUCUGGCAUUAGGUUGUCGGGCAGAGGAUCCUCAUCGUUUACUGUGAAAAAAUUAGAGUGUUCAAAGCAGGCUUAUGCCGUUGAAUAUGUUAGCAUGGAAUAAUAAGAUAGGACUUUGGUACUAUUUUGUUGGUUUGCGCACCAAAGUAAUGAUUAAUAGGGACAGUUGGGGGUAUUCGUAUUCCGUUGUCAGAGGUGAAAUUCUUGGAUUUACGGAAGACGAACUACUGCGAAAGCAUUUACCAAGGAUGUUUUCAUUAA
rnacentral:rRNA from 1 species